CAGCACACCUCGCUGCGCCACGUACUCAAGGCCGAAGUCCGGCUAGGGGUUAAGCCGAGCGCCGCACGAGCACCACGCGGCUCAGGCCGGGCAACUCACGCCCGAACCCGACAGCUGACCUCGUAGGCGUCGGUGAGGACACAA
rnacentral:sRNA from 2 species